AGUGAACGCUGGCGGUAGGCCUAACACAUGCAAGUCGAACGGCAGCACAGUAAGAGCUUGCUCUUACGGGUGGCGAGUGGCGGACGGGUGAGGAAUACAUCGGAAUCUACUUUUUCGUGGGGGAUAACGUAGGGAAACUUACGCUAAUACCGCAUACGACCUACGGGUGAAAGCAGGGGAUCUUCGGACCUUGCGCGAUUGAAUGAGCCGAUGUCGGAUUAGCUAGUUGGCGGGCUAAAGGCCCACCAAGGCGACGAUCCGUAGCUGGUCUGACAGGGUGAUCAGCCACACUGAAACUGAGAGACGGUCCCGACUCCUACGGGAGGCAGCAGUGGGGAAUAUUGGAAAAUAGGCGAAACCCUGGUGCAGCCAUACCGGGUGAGUUAAGAAGGCCUUCGGGUUGUAGAGCCCUUUUCUUGGGAAAGAAAAGCAGCAGGUUAAUACCCCGCUGUUCUGACGGUAACCAAAGAAUAAGCACCGGCUAACUUCGUG
rnacentral:rRNA from 1 species